AUACGGAAGGUCCGGGCGUUAUCCGGAUUAAUUGGGUUUAAAGGGAGCGCAGGCGGAGAUGCAAGCGUGACGUCAAAUUUCGGGGCUCAACCCCGUCUCGCGUCGCGAACUGCGUCCCUUGGUUGCGGGAAGGGGAGGCGGAACUCGUGGUGUAGCGGUGAAAUGCAUAGAUAUCACGAAGAACUCCGAUCGCGAAGGCAGCCUUCCGGCCCGUCAACGACGCUCAUGCUCGAAGGUGCGGGUAUCAAACAGGAUUAGAUACCCUGGUAGUCCGCACAGUAAACGAUGGACACCCGCGGUUUGGCCUGUAUGGCUGAGCCGCCAAGCGAAAGCGUUAAGUGUCCCACCUGGGGAGUACGCCGGCAACGGGAAACUCAAAUGAAUUGACGGGG
rnacentral:rRNA from 1 species